rnacentral:rRNA from 1 species
ACUCCUACUUGUAGGGAGCAGUGGGGAAUCUUGCGCAAUGGGAGCAAUCCUGACGCAGCGACGCCGCGUGCGGGAUGACGCCUUUCGGGGUGUAAACCGCUGUCACCGGGGACGAAUCCUACUGGGAGGCAAUGCCCAUGUAGUUGACGGUACCCGGAGAGGAAGCACCGGCUAACUCCGUGCCAGCAGCCGCGGUAAUACGGAGGGUGCGAGCGUUGUUCGGAAUUAUUGGGCGUAAAGCGCGCGUAGGCGGUUCUUUAAGUCUGUCUGUGAAAGGCCGGGGCUCAACCCCGUGCAGUGCAGGGGAUACUGGAGGACUUGAGAGAUGCAGAGGCCAGCGGAAUUCCGGGUGUAGCGGUGGAAUGCGUAGAGAUCCGGAAGAACACCGGCGGCGAAGGCGGCUGGCUGGGCAUCAUCUGACGCUGAGGUGCGAAAGCGUGGGGAGCA